rnacentral:rRNA from 1 species
UUCCGGUUGAUCCCGCCGGACCUGACUGCUAUCGGAUUGGUACUAAGCCAUGUGAGUCGUUGCAGCAAUGCAAGGCAGACGGCUCAGUAACACGUAGUCAACCUAACCUAUGGACGGGGAUAACCUCGGGAAACUGAGAAUAAUACCCGAUAGAUCAUGAUACCUGGAAUGGUUUAUGGUUCAAAUGAUUUAUCGCCAUAGGAUGGGACUGCGGUCUAUCAGCUUGUUGGUGAGGUAAUGGCCCACCAAGGCUAUAACAGAUACGGGCUCUGAGAGGAGGGGCCCGGAGAUGGGUACUGAGACACGGACCCAGGUCCUAUGGGGCGCAGCAGGCGAGAAACCUUUGCAAUGUGCGAAAGCACGACAAGGUUAAUCCGAGUGAUUCCUGCUAAAGGAAUCUUUUGUUAGUCAUAAAACCACUGAUGAAUAAGGGGUGGGCAAGUUCUGGUGUCAGCCGCCGCGGUAAUACCAGCACCUCGAGUGGUCAGGAGGUUUAUUGGGCCUAAAGCAUCCGUAGCCGGCUGCUCAAGUUUCCGGUUAAAUCCACACGCUUAACGUAUGGGCUGCUGGAAAUACUGUUCAGCUAGGGAGUGGGAGAGGUAGACGGUACUCGAUAGGAAGGGGUAAAAUCCUUUGAUCUAUUGAUGACCACCUGUGGCGAAGGCGGUCUACCAGAACACGUUCGACGGUGAGGGAUGAAAGCUGGGGGAGCAAACCGGAUUAGAUACCCGGGUAGUCCCAGCUGUAAACGAUGCAGACUCGGUGAUGUAUUGGCUUAUGGCCAGUGCAGUGCCGCAGGGAAGCCGUUAAGUUUGCCGCCUGGGAAGUACGUACGCAAGUAUGAAACUUAAAGGAAUUGGCGGG